GAUGAACGCUGGCGGCGUGCCUAAUACAUGCAAGUCGAGCGAACGGACGAGAAGCUUGCUUCUCUGAUGUUAGCGGCGGACGGGUGAGUAACACGUGGAUAACCUACCUAUAAGACUGGGAUAACUUCGGGAAACCGGAGCUAAUACCGGAUAAUAUUUUGAACCGCAUGGUUCAAAAGUGAAAGACGGUCUUGCUGUCACUUAUAGAUGGAUCCGCGCUGCAUUAGCUAGUUGGUAGGGUAACGGCUUACCAAGGCAACGAUGCAUAGCCGACCUGAGAGGGUGAUCGGCCACACUGGAACUGAGACAUGGUCCAGACUCCUACGGGAGGCAGCAGUAGGGAAUCUUCCGCAAUGGGCGAAAGCCUGACGGAGCAACGCCGCGUGAGUGAUGAAGGUCUUCGGAUCGUAAAACUCUGUUAUUAGGGAAGAACAUAUGUGUAAGUAACUGUGCACAUCUUGACGGUACCUAAUCAGAAAGCCACGGCUAACUACGUG
rnacentral:rRNA from 1 species